UACGUAGGUGGCAAGCGUUGUCCGGAUUUAUUGGGUUUAAAGGGUGCGUAGGCGGUCCUAUAAGUCAGUGCUGAAAUAUCCCGGCUUAACCGGGAGGGUGGCAUUGAUACUGCAGGACUUGAGUAAAGUUGAGGUAAGCGGAAUUGACGGUGUAGCGGUGAAAUGCUUAGAUAUCGUCAAGAACACCUAUUGCGAAGGCAGCUUACUAAGCUUUAACUGACGCUGAGGCACGAAAGUGUGGGGAUCAAACAGG
rnacentral:rRNA from 1 species